rnacentral:rRNA from 1 species
GCGUCAGGUCGCCCGUUCGGGAAAGUUGAGACAGGUGGUGCAUGGUUGUCGUCAGCUCGUGUCGUGAGAUGUUGGGUUAAGUCCCGCAACGAGCGCAACCCUUAUGAUUAGUUGCUACGCAAGAGCACUCUAAUCAGACUGCCGUUGACAAAACGGAGGAAGGUGGGGACGACGUCAAAUCAUCAUGCCCCUUAUGACCUGGGCUACACACGUACUACAAUGGCCAUUAACAGAGGGAAGCAAGACCGCGAGGUGGAGCAAAACCCUAAAAAUGGUCUCAGUUCGGAUCGCAGGCUGAAACCCGCCUGCGUGAAGCUGGAAUUGCUAGUAAUCGCGGAUCAUCAUGCCGCGGUGAAUACGUUCCCGGGCCUUGUACACACCGCCCGUCACACCAUGGGAGCCGGUAAUACCCGAAGUCGGUAGUCUAACCGCAAGGAGGACGCCGCCGAAGGUAGGAUUGGCGACUGGGGUGAAGUCGUAACAAGGUAGCCGUAUCGGAAGGUGCGGCUGGAUCACCUCCUUUAU